AUGGCAGGCUUCCAGGAGCUGUAUGACACCCCCAGGGACAGGCUGGAUGUCUUCGUAAAACAUCCUUCCAGUCUGCCUUCAUAAAACAGCCUCCAGCCCCAGGGAGACUGGAAGGAUGAAGUGAAGGAUGCCAGGCAUAGAAUUGAGCAGUUCUUGAGGGAUCAGUGCUUCUAUAAUGAGCUGAUUCUGGACCAAGAAGUCAGGGUGCUGAAGAUGGCAAAGGUUCCACAGGGAAGGGGACGACGCUGAACUACAGCUCCGACCUGGACCUGAUUCUCUUCUUGAGCUGCUUCUCCAGCAUCCAAGACCAGGCACAGCUGCAAGACCGUAUCACCAGCUUCACUGAAGAGAAUUGGUUCGCUGCAGCAAGAGCCUGGCCUACAACAUCACUGUGGUCCGGCACAGGGAGGGGACCAGGGCCCCUGACUUCCUGUCCCUCCAGGUCCAGUCCAGGAAGAGCAGCGGAGUCAUUUGGAUGGAUAAGGUCCCGGCUUUCUAUGCUCUGGGUAAAGACGACAGGUCGGGUCCA
rnacentral:sRNA from 1 species